CUGGGAGUCCCGCCUCCCUCCUCCGCCCCCCCACCCCGUCUUCCUCCUACUCGCGCUCGUGGGAUGCACACGCUCCCCCCCCCCUCGCUAUUGAUUUUUUCCCCGAUGCUUCAGCUAUUGGCCGCGGAAGCGUGAGAAGGGCGGGGUCGGGAAGGAUGCUGCCUUUUGAUUGAUUUGGAUGGGAAAAAGGCAACUGAAACACAGGGAGCCCUAUUUAUGAACCACAGUUGGGACCAGAAUUUCUAUUGCUAAGCAACCCGAGGUUGGUUUCCAAACUGCUCUAUCGCCAUCUAGCGGUGGUUCCUCAUACAGCCCAGCAUCGAGAAUUCUGGCCUCUAGGUCUCAAGAUGUUGAAGAUGGAGAGGGGACUCCCCUUGAUCCAGCCUGCAGGGGAUCUGCAUGCAGGAUGGAGCUGCUUUUCUUCCCUCAGAGGCAAUCACAUCGGGUUUUUCUGCUCGGCGAGUUGCAUACUCAGCUCAGUAGCUCCAACAUUUAAUAUAUAUAUUUAAUAUACAUGGUGUUUAAAAAAACAAAAAACAAACCAGACGCAUGCGCAGUUAGCAGAUGAAGCCGGGACAGGUGCAACGCAGAGUAGGCAGAACGCAGCUGGUAGGCAUAGAUUCAGCAAACCAGGAGGUUUAAUCCGGCUGCGACCCCUUCAUAAACCGACCCUGCUUCUCCUCACGUUUCUUUUAAUAAUGGUAGUUUUACAACUUUUCUCUUUACUGCAUGCGGGUGUAUAUUGUAUCUUGAGUGUACACACCACGGGGAGUAAAAAUGUAGGCUCUGUUGAUAAAAAACAUAUUUUCAGUCUUGAUUCAAUGAAUGAACCAUUCAUGUGCUGAAAAUACAAUCAUGUUUGAAUAUGUUGCUGGGAUUAGUUUUUGCUUAAUUUUUAAAUUCAAAUUUCUCAAUCUUGGCAGGUUUAAGAUAUGUGGACUUCAACUACCAGAAUUCCCUUGCCAGCCUCUUGAAGUAUUCUGGGAACUGAAGUCCAUACAUAUGAAAGUUAUCAAGUUUGAGCAUAAUAUAGAAUAUUAAAUUUUUAGCACUUGCCAGAUUGUUUAUUGCUUAAAAGAAUCCAGCCAUAGAAUAGAGGAUAAACUUGAAAGACAUCAGCCUAAAAAUUCCAGGCACUGUUUUACUGAUAGCAAGGUAGCAUUUUUUAAAGGAGACACUGAAGAGAUCUGUAUUGAAGGA